AAACCACGCAUCGAGCAUUUUCUGAUCAUUUCCUUAAAUCGCUCCCAAGCUUCAUACAAUGUCUCAUCUUCAAAUUGCCAAAAAGAUGUAAUAUCAUUCCUCAAUUU
rnacentral:snoRNA from 1 species